CCUGAGAAACCUAAAAGUUCGAAAAGAGAGAUUCAACGUCAGCAUGUACAGUAUUCGCGUGAGUAGCGAUGCAAGUUUUAUUAGUUGGGUCAAACCAAUUGAUAUUAAUUUGCACGCUUUCAUGUAAUUUUUUUGCUGUAUUAUUGUCGGCGUGCACUUCUCUCUUAGUAGGACGUCCCGACCCGUUGAGUCUUAGCCUACGGCCCGUAUGGUUGCUUUUAAUAUAAUUUAUAUUAAAAACCUUCGGUGUUCUUCUCCGGCCUAAGUGCUCGACGGUAGUUAAAUGAUAUGGUAUUAAGCCGCAAUUUUAUUUUGCGUCCGGCCUACCGCAAGUUUUUUGACAAAUUCCGUAUUGGCAUAGACUUUGUGCUUGCUAUAUGGUUUUGUUCGGCUGUUUGCUUGGUUGUGCCCUCGGACUGGCUUAAAUAAUUACCUGUCAGGGACGCUUAGGCUUUGGGUACUCUCAGGACCCGUCUUGAAACACGGACCAAGGAGUCUAACAUGUACGCGAGUCAUUGGGUAUAUAUUUUCCUUCGGGAAUUUAUAUAAAACAAACCUAAAGGCGAAAUGAAAGUAAAGGUUGAACCUUGUGUUUAACUUAGGGAUGAUGGGUUAUUAAUUUAUCCCCGCAAUCCCAGGGCGUCUUAAUCUCAUUGCGAGAUGU
rnacentral:rRNA from 1 species